UGUUCAUGCAGGGUCACAAAAUACCCUGGACCACAGCAGCAAGCACUCUCUGGUUGCCUCUCAGGUUGUGUCAGCCCUGGGCAGAACUGAAAAUUGACCUCUCCAAGGCAGGUUGUCUGGGCCUACUGUGGAAAUGAGGCGGGCAGUGUGAGGAGGGAAAGAAGGGGAGGAACUACCAGACCAUGGAGGGCUGCAUAUCCCAUUGCGACCUUGAUGAAAACAGAGCAGAGAGGAGGGGUUUGAUCAGAAGAAAUUCCUGAAGGAAUUGUUUGCGAGAGUUUCUGUUUUUACAGAAGAAAAAAUUGUGUUACUCCAGAGAAUGCUGGAGGGAGGGUGCCUUAGGGAGUAUAUUGGUGGAUUACAAAGGCAUCUCAGGCUGGUUAGAAAUACAAGCAGAUCACAGCCUCCUCAAACAAACAAUCUCUGGCGGCGGCGGCAGCAGCUCCAGCACAGCUGUGCUCCAUGGCGAAAAAGUUUCCUCCACACUUUUCAGUGUGCAGGAAAUCUCGCCGGCCCGGUGCUGAGAGGGCAGCAAUCAGAGGUGGGAAAGGCCAAGCGGAACCGACCGCAGCGACGCCCCAAAAGUUGAAUGGAUGUGCGUGCAUCUGGAUGUGCGAAUGAGGCUAAGGAGCCAGCCACCGACGCCUAGUCUCUGUUCCCACACCGGACCCCAGCUCUGCAACCUGCCCUGGCAGGACGGCCAGCGAGCAACAAGAGAGGAGCCCAGCCGCACUGCCUACGCCCUCAGCCUCUCGCUGUCCACCAGGGUGCAGGGGCCUCGAGGAGAAGCCCCCAACAGCCUCC
rnacentral:lncRNA from 1 species